UGCUCUUUCAGUGUGUGAGGGUUGUCAUUUUGUCAUUUACUUUCAGCACCGUCCUGUCAGGUGGAGCCAGAGGUAGCUCCCCGCCUUUAUAAGGACAGGUGAGGGCAAUUAGUGCCUCUUUGUCUGAGGCCUGGUUGUGCGGCUGGUUGUGUGGCAGGGUUGCAGUGUCCAUGCGGGCAAGGGCAAUUGAAAGUGGAAAGAUGUGUUAUAUUGCCUUAUGGGAAAACUAAUGAGGCUUUUUGUGUAUUCAGUUGUGGUGUGACUGUCCUGAGGUGACUCAGAUUGAGCUCUGUAGUUCUGCGCUGGAGGAAAAGACUCAGCUCGUCCCUGUUUAGACCGGAGUGGAGCCUGUCAACUAUUGUGGUGCUUUUCAGCAGAGCCCCACAUUGACUGAGAUUUGAGGCCAGACUGCUGCUUUGCCUGAACCAGUUCACCAGGGCUGGUGACAAAUGUGUUUAUGGACUAUAUAAGCUGAACUACGAUGUAGGUGGUUGAAUAUUGCUGUUCUAUAUUUGACUGUACUGUACUGAACAUUUGUGAAAUUGAACCUCAGCAUACUCAGAAUCUCCCCGCGGAAAGUACCCUGCCUAUUGUUGUAGUCAUUUUAUCCUCUAUUAUAUUUCAUGUUAAGUCAUUUGCUAUUUAUAUUUUCAUCGUUUUAACUGUUUUAGUAUUGUAGAAAAAAAUAAUUUGGACUAUCCUGACAGUUUCCCCUUUUUUUCAGGUCUGUUGCCAGUAUACUUUUCUUUUUUAAAAUAAAUAUUCCUUGAACUGAA